rnacentral:lncRNA from 7 species
ACCGUCACCACACGCACACGGCACACACACCUUCUUCGUCCCCUUCACCCCCUGCCGCUAGCCUCUCCCUCCCCUCGGUCGUAGCCAUGGAGACCACUUCCCCUGCCUCUUCACCUGGGCACACCUCCCUCCCAGCUGCUGCAGGUAGGACUAAGUAGUAAAUAGCCAUAUACAUAGGUUGAGUGGAUCGUUAAGAGACGGUAGCCAAUCAUAUCAUUCUUUUUCAUGGAUCGGAUGUAUCAUGUAUCUAGCUGCUAGACUAUGCUGAAAUGCAUGCAUGCUUUUCGUCCAUGGUGCAUGCAUCCAACAAUGAACUAUGGAUCGCACGCAUCACGGGACGGGAGAGACGAGGCGAUUUCACGAGAUCAAUCCGUUGGCCGAUAUAGAAAAGGCCUUUAUUUGCAUACAUGUGCUCGUCUUCACGAGCCAUUUUCAGUUCUUCUUUUCUUUUCACUUUCUGCGUCUCAGAUGAUCUAUUUCUUUUUUUCAUCAGCUCAGCAAAGGUACGCCGAGUUUUAAUUUCCCCCGGUUUCUAUGAAAUUCGGCGUUGCAAAGAUAUAUAGAUGGUUACCAGGAUUGGUAUGUAUUUAUAUGAUGUUCGUCACCGAUGACAACCCCCCCGGCCCGGCCACAUGAUGGCAUGAAUAAUAUUUUAUUUAUG